rnacentral:rRNA from 1 species
UUUUGUGACUGAGUGGCGGACGGGUGAGUAACGCGUGGGUAACCUGCCUCAUACAGGGGGAUAGCAGUUGGAAACGACUGGUAAAACCGCAUAAGCGCACGGUGUCGCAUGACACAGUGUGAAAACACUCCGGUGGUAUGAGAUGGACCCGCGUCUGAUUAGCUAGUUGGUGAGGUAACGGCCCACCAAGGCGACGAUCAGUAGCCGGCCUGAGAGGGCGAACGGCCACACUGGGACUGAGACACGGCCCAGACUCCUACGGGAGACAGCAGUUAGGAAUAUUCGGCAAUGGGCGAAAGCCUGACCGAGCAAUGCCGCGUGUGAGAUGAAGGUCCUUUGGAUUGUAAAUCACUUUUAUUUGGGAAGAACAGUAAGUAUAGGAAAUGAUGCUUACUUGACGGUACCUUUUGAAUAAGCCCCGGCUAACUACGUGCCAGCAGCCGCGGUAAUACGUAGGGGGCGAGCGUUAUCCGGAUUUAUUGGGCGUAAAGCGUGUGUAGGCGGUUUGUUAAGUCUGAGAUGAAAGGCUAUGGCUCAACCAUAGUUUGUUUCAGAAACUGGCAGACUAGAGUGCAGUAGAGGCAAAUGGAAUUCAUAGUGUAGCGGUGGAAUGCGUAGAUAUUAUGAGGAACAUCAGU